rnacentral:rRNA from 1 species
CGCGGCCUAUCAGCUUGUUGGUGUGGUAACGGCGCACCAAGGCAACGAUGGGUAGCUGGUCUGAGAGGAUGGUCAGCCACAUUGGGACUAAGACACUGCCCAAACUCCUACGGGAGGCUGCAGUCGAGAAUAUUUCGCAAUGGGGGAAACCCUGACGAUGCGACGCCGCGUGGGGGAUGAAGGCCUUCGGGUCGUAAACCUCUGUGUUACGGGAUGAAUCGAGCGUUGCUGAUAACGCAGCGUUUUUGACGUUACCGUAGUAGAAAGCCCCAGCUAACUACGUGCCAGCAGCUGCGGUAAUACGUAGGGGGCAAGCGUUGUCCGGAAUCACUGGGCGUAAAGCGCGCGCAGGCGGUAGGGUAAGUCAGACGUGAAAGGGUUCGGCUCAACCGAGCCAUUGCGUUUGAUACUGCUUUACUUGAGUCUAGAAGAGGAAAGUGGAAUGUAUGGUGUAGCGGUGGAAUGCUUAGAUAUCAUAUAGAACACCCGUGGCGAAGGCGGCUUUCUGGUCUAAGACUGACGCUCAUGCGCGAAAGUUUGGGGAGCAACCGGGAUUAGAUACCCCGCUAGUCCUUACUGUAAACGAUGGGUACUAAGUGUAGGGGGUGUUGAUUCCCUCUGUGCUGUAGCUAACGCAUUAAGUACCCCGCCUGGGGAGUACGG